rnacentral:rRNA from 1 species
AUUGAACGCUGGCGGCAUGCUUUACACAUGCAAGUCGAACGGCAGCGCGGGCUUCAGCCUGGCGGCGAGUGGCGAACGGGUGAGUAAUACAUCGGAACGUGCCCAGUAGUGGGGGAUAGCGCAGGGAAAGCCGGAUUAAUACCGCAUACGACCUGCGGGUGAAAGCGGGGGAUCUUCGGACCUCGCGCUGAAGGAUCGGCCGACGGCAGAUUAGCUAGUUGGUGGGGUAAAGGCCUACCAAGGCGACGAUCUGUAGCUGGUCUGAGAGGAAGACCAGCCACACUGGGACUGAGACACGGCCCAGACUCCUACGGGAGGCAGCAGUGGGGAAUUUUGGACAAUGGGCGAAAGCCUGAUCCAGCCAUGCCGCGUGUGUGAUGAAGGCCUUCGGGUUGUAAAGCACUUUUGGCCGGAACGAAAACGACUGUGCCAAUACCACGGUUCGAUGACGGUACCCGAAGAAUAAGCACCGGCUAACUACGUG